rnacentral:misc_RNA from 1 species
AAUCCACUCAAGCCUGGCUUGGUGUUGGGCGACGGGGAGUCCCCCGUGCCUCAACUUCACCGGCUGGCCGUCCGCCCGUCUUAGCGUUGUGACACCACUUCUCGCUUCUGACGGCGGCGGUCCACGCCGUUAUAAAAACCACGAGUCCUUCGGGAAUCGAUUAA